rnacentral:rRNA from 1 species
GACAGAGGGUGCAAACGUUUGUUCGGAAUUACUGGGCGUAAAGCGCGUGUAGGCGGCCAUCUAAGUCGGGCGUGAAAUCCCACGGCUCAACCGGUGGAAGUGCACUCGAAACUGGAUGGCUAGAGUCCUGGAGAGGAAGGUGGAAUGCUUGGUGUAGAGGUGAAAUUCGUAGAUAUCAAGCGGAACACCGGUGGCGAAGGCGGCCUUCUGGACAGUGACGUGACGCUGAGACGCGAAAGCGUGGGGAGCA